rnacentral:lncRNA from 12 species
AUGUGAACUGAUCAUGGAAAAUAAAAAACAAACCUUGGAGUCAACAGAGUCCUUGCCACUUCCUGAGGCCCUGACCUCUAGUGUCAUGUGGUCAAUGUUACAUUCUUUAUUUUCUUUAAUUAUUGGUUUUCACAUGAUAGGUGAGUGUGCAGGACGGCUGUCAGAAGAUGCAUUUAUAAGCUGUUAUGUGAAAGGGUUUUGAAAUAUAUCAAAUGCAUCAUAAGGCAAGAAUUCACACAGCAAGUCUUGUGGCUAAUCCUUUGCUUUGAGCGGCUGAAGAGCCUUGGAGGGGCAUCGCAGCAAGUAUCCCUCCCUGGGCACCAGACACAGAGAACCGACUGACUUUUGUGAUGAACUUUCCAAACGAGCUGUUGCUACAGCCGACCAACCGGCAAGCCGGCCGAGGGACCCGACUACUUCCCCUGGGCCCGACGACAGAAUAGAUUUGUCGCAAGCAAACUGUAAGUGGGCUGCCAUCAUCAAAGAAAUCAGCAGCCCGUCUCCCUGGGAGACUGCAACCCCCCACAUUUAUCUAAAUUAUCUCGGUAAUAUGACAGAGUGAUUGCUCACUAAUGGUCAAUAACAGUUUUCUUUGUCAUUUUCCUAGUCAUUACCUCCUGAGAAUGAACUCCCGAGUACACUGCUUGCAGCCCGUGACUGGAAUGUUAAUUUCGUCCUGCGUCCCCGGCUGGCUCCCUUCAACGGUACUGGGCUCUCGCAUUUCUGACAUUUUUCGUUUUGUAAAAAUGAAUACCUGCCUUAGAAAGCCUGAUGAACGCAGAGAUACUUUACAUGCAAACACACACACACACACACACACACACACACACACACACAAAUGCUGUUCCCAUUUCCCCCUGUCUUUCAUCUGACAAAGCGGGUAGUGACUGCGAGCUCAGAAUUGGCUGGCGGAGGUGUCUGCUGGUGUGUGGGCUCCAUUUCUGGGGCUUUAUCAAGCCCUGUCUCCGAUUUUCCCAUUUCAGACAAUCUUCCUUUGAAGACGUGGAUGACAUAGUAAAACCGAUUGCACUUGAGAGCCGAUUCCAUGACUAUUUUGCUGCAACAGCUCAACAGCCUUUUGUUCCAGAGCGUGUUACGGUUUCACAGAGGAGAGGGAGACUCGAGGCUGCAUGA